UAUUCAUUUCACGAUCACCACCACCACAACAACAGUGAAUGUAUGAAGUCGGGUGGUUGCUAACCUAGACGGAAGGAUCGGCCUUGGAUUUGUGGCCUUGUGGGUUGUCAAUUUUUAUUGUGGAUCAUCUUUAGGGAGAGUGAAAGGGUAGAAAUAUAUCCGUAACAAAACUAAUCGUCUUUCGUGCUUCACUUGAUUGAAAAAAAAUACCAAAUAUAAGUAUAUAUAUAAAAAAACAGACAAAAUGUUUAGGACAGGUCCUAACUAUACCAAGUUGAGCACAAACCUUCGUCUGACGGUCAAUCGACUCAAAUUACUGGAAAAGAAGAAAGCUGAACUUGCUCAAAAAGCCCGUCGUGAAAUUGCGGACUAUAUUUGUAAUGGUAAAGAAGACAGGGCUCGGAUCCGUGUUGAACACAUCAUUCGCGAAGAUUAUUUGGUCGAAGCUAUGGAACUUUUAGAGAUGUACUGCGAUCUAUUGUUGGCCAGGUUCGGACUUAUCCAAACACAAAAAGAAUUGGAUUCCGGUCUUGAAGAAGCCAUAGCAAGCCUGAUAUGGGUGACACCUCGACUUCAGAGCGACAUUCAAGAAUUCAAACAGAUCUCUGAACAGUUUGGAGCAAAAUAUGGCAAGGAAUUCGCACAAGCAUGUCGAACAAAUGCACUUAACAAUGUCAGCGAGAAAGUGAUGCACAAACUGAGCGUGCAGGCACCGCCUAAAAUUCUAGUGGAACGGUACAUGAUUGAGAUUGCUAAGACAUACAACGUACCGUUUGUUCCGGAUGCUUCAGUAAUGUCACAGUUUGAAGAAGGUUGCUCCGUAGACAAUUUGAUUGACUUUGACUUGAACAACCCAGACAUGGACAAGAAUGACAAAAUGUUUGGUCGGCCAGGCGGAAACAUAUCUGGUGGUGGUGGUGGCGGUGGUGGUGGCUCGACGAUUCCUCCGGUUCAAUCCUGUGGAUCUCCUUUCAAUUAUCCUGCCGCAUCGAUAUCUGCUGCUAAUCAAAAUGUCCCGUCUGGAAUUCCAACGAAGCCCUCAGAAAACAAGUACCCACCAGCACCCAUCGGCUUUGUCAUCAACCAACCUAACCAACCAAAGCAAAUCGAUAUGUUCCCAGACUUACCAGCUGUUCCUUCAAACACUCUUCCAGACAUUGGUAACCAUGCGUCUGUACAAGAAUCAGGAUGCAUUGUAAGAAUAUGUCGAACCUGUUGUAGAACCUGACAACUUGAUUGAUAUUUUAUCUUAUCGACCAUCCCAGAAGGAUGAUGAAAAAAUAAAAUAAAAAAGGAAAAAAAAAAGCAACAAAAACAAAGCAAAGCAAAAUCGACCUUGGAAGGAAUUGAACUUAGAACAUAAAUAGCUGAGACUAAAGACCACAAGUGUCCAGUCUGCUAUCUCAGAAGUCAAGGAGUCCAAACUGAUUUCUUCUACGUCCACUUUGGUUGGUAUGUCUCAGAAAGUACAGAAGCUAGCAACUCCACUUUGGUAUCUCAAGAAAUCCAAAUUGAUUAUACUUCAGAACCCAUUCUGGUAUCUCAGAAUCUACUGAAGCUAUGAAUACUAUGUU